rnacentral:rRNA from 1 species
CCUACGGGAGGCAGCAGUGAGGAAUAUUGGGCAAUGGACGAGAGUCUGAUCCAGCCAAGUUGCGUGAAUGAUGACUGCCCUAGGGUUUGUAAACUUCUUUUAUAUAGGAAUAAAACUACGCGUGUAUGCCUUUUUGCAUGUACGUUAUCAAUCAGGAACGGCUAACUUCGUGCCAGCCGCCGCGGUAAUACGUUGGAUUCGAGCGUUAUGCUGAUUUAUUGGGUUUAAAGUGAGCGUAGAUGGGUUGUUAAGUCAGUUGUGAAAGUUUGGGGCUCAACCGUAAAAUUGCAAUUGAUACUGGCAGUCUUGAGUACGGUUGAGGGAGGUGGAAUUCGAGGUGUAGCGGUGAAAUGCGUAGAUAUAUCGAAGAACACCGGUGGCGAAGGCAGCUUCCUAGACUGAGACUGACAUUGAUGUUCGAAAGUGUGGGUAUCAAACAGGAUUAGAUACCCGGGUAGUC